rnacentral:rRNA from 1 species
GAGAAUGCCGGUGUGAGUAGCGAAAGACGGGUGAGAAUCCCGUCCACCGAUUGACUAAGGUUUCCAGAGGAAGGCUCGUCCGCUCUGGGUUAGUCGGGUCCUAAGCUGAGGCCGACAGGCGUAGGCGAUGGAUAACAGGUUGAUAUUCCUGUACCACCUAUAAUCGUUUUAAUCGAUGGGGGGACGCAGUAGGAUAGGCGAAGCGUGCGAUUGGAUUGCACGUCUAAGCAGUAAGGCUGAGUAUUAGGCAAAUCCGGUACUCGUUAAGGCUGAGCUGUGAUGGGGAGAAGACAUUGUGUCUUCGAGUCGUUGAUUUCACACUGCCGAGAAAAGCCUCUAGAUAGAAAAUAGGUGCCCGUACCGCAAACCGACACAGGUAGUCAAGAUGAGAAUUCUAAGGUGAGCGAGCGAACUCUCGUUAAGGAACUCGGCAAAAUGACCCCGUAACUUCGGGAGAAGGGGUGCUCUUUAGGGUUAACGCCCAGAAGAGCCGCAGUGAAUAGGCCCAAGCGACUGUUUAUCAAAAACACAGGUCUCUGCUAAACCGUAAGGUGAUGUAUAGGGGCUGACGCCUGCCCGGUGCUGGAAGGUUAAGAGGAGUGGUUAGCUUCUGCGAAGCUACGAAUCGAAGCCCCAGUAAACGGCGGCCGUAACUAUAACGGUCCUAAGGUAGCGAAAUUCCUUGUCGGGUAAGUUCCGACCCGCACGAAAGGCGUAACGAUUUGGGCACUGUCUCAACGAGAGACUCGGUGAAAUCAUAGUACCUGUGAAGAUGCAGGUUACCCGCGACAGGACGGAAAGACCCCGUGGAGCUUUACUGUAGCCUGAUAUUGAAAUUCGGCACAGCUUGUACAGGAUAGGUAGGAGCCUUUGAAACGUGAGCGCUAGCUUACGUGGAGGCGCUGGUGGGAUACUACCCUAGCUGUGUUGGCUUUC